CAGCAGUAGGGAAUUUUCCACAAUGGACGAAAGUCUGAUGGAGCAAUGCCGCGUGAGCGAAGAAGGUUUUCGGAUCGUAAAGCUCUGUUGUAAGGGAAGAACAAGUACGGGAGUAACUGCCCGUACCUUGACGGUACCUUAUUAGAAAGCCACGGCUAACUACGUGCCAGCAGCCGCGGUAAUACGUAGGUGGCAAGCGUUGUCCGGAAUUAUUGGGCGUAAAGCGCGCGCAGGCGGCCUUUUAAGUYUGAUGUGAAAGCCCACGGCUCAACCGUGGAGGGUCAUUGGAAACUGGGGGACUUGAGUACAGAAGAGGAAAGCGGAAUUCCACGUGUAGCGGUGAAAUGCGUAGAGAUGUGGAGGAACACCAGUGGCGAAGGCGGCUUUCUGUCUGUAACUGACGCUGAGGCGCGAAAGCGUGGGGAGCAAACAGGAUUAGAUACCCGG
rnacentral:rRNA from 1 species